AUAACNGCCCUGAGAUGGGGGAUAACCCGGGGAAACUCGGGCUAAUACCGCAUAGGACCGUGAGGUCAAAGGGGGGUCGCAAGAUCUCUCGCCAUAGGAGGAGUCCGCGUCCGAUUAGCUAGUUGGUAGGGUAAUGGCCUACCAAGGCGACGAUCGGUAGCCGGCCUGAGAGGGUGAUCGGCCACACUGGAACUGAGACACGGUCCAGACUCCUACGGGAGGCAGCAGUGGGGAAUUUUGCGCAAUGGGCUAACGCCUGACGCAGCAACGCCGCGUGGAGGAUGAAGGUCCUUGGAUUGUAAACUCCUGUCAGCAGGGAAAAAGCAACUCAACCUAAUACGUUGAGAAGUUGAUUGUACCUGCAGAGGAAGCCCCGGCUAACUCUGUGCCAGCAGCCGCGGUAAUACAGAGGGGGCAAGCGUUAUUCGGAAUUAUUGGGCGUAAAGGGCGCGUAGGCGGCCUGGCAAGUGGACGGUGAAAUCCCUCGGCUUAACCGAGGAACUGCCAUCCAGACUGCUUGGCUUGAGACCGGGAGAGGUGAGUGGAAUUCCCAGUGUAGCGGUGAAAUGCGUAGAUAUUGGGAGGAACACCAGUGGCGAAGGCGGCUCACUGGACCGGUACUGACGCUGAGGCGCGAA
rnacentral:rRNA from 1 species